UUUUUUGGGGGUGUUGGGGUUGGGAUAUUUGUUUGCUUCCUCACAUGUUGGUGUGAAGACUGACUUUUUAAAGUCAGAACUCAGAAGAACACAAGAAUGACUGAACGAGUAUAACUUUUUGUACAUGCACAAAUGUGAAGGUAGAUUGGAUUGAGUUUUUAUAUGUUAUUCAAUGAAAUAUUACUAAUUAAGGAUUUUCAUCUCACUUGUAUUCCAAUUAAGACUUAGGAUAACACCAUUUUUCUUUUCAUUUUCUCUGUCGUUGGUAUUUUGUCUAUUUCACUACCUCCUAAAGUAUAGCCUUUGCUUCUUAACUUUUAGUUGUGCAGUCUCUCUUCGAACUAUGGGCAACAUGACGCAUGUUCUUUUUUAUAAUCACUGGAAAGUAAAGGGGGCGAGGACAGUGUAAUGGAUGGAUAGAGUGUAUGGAGUUUUUAGGCCAAAGAGAGCUAGGAGUAAGAAUGGCUGAGCUGUGAUGGGUAAGAGAGGCUAUUUGAUUAAAUGUCCCAAAUUGGAAGGUAUUGGAGCAGACAAUAAAAAUGGAGCAACAACAUCAACCUACUUUCCCCUCUCACAAUUAGAGGUUUAAGGCUUAUAUCAGAUUAACGAUUUAAAAUCUCUUCUAGAGAAGAGGCUGCAGAACCUCAUUUCUCUCCGGGAAGUCUAUAUAAAAAGGUGCAAUGGUCUGGGUUUUCUCCAUUGGAUAGGCAUCCUCACAUCACUACAAAGCCUUAACAUUUAGGAAUGUCCCAAACUAAUGUCACUUCCUCAAGGGAUUCGCAAUCUCGCAUCUUUAUAUGAACUAGGAAUUGAUAAUUGUCCCAAUCUGAUGUCACUUCCUAAUGGGAGUCACAAUCUCACCCCUUUAAAAAAGUUGGAAAUUCUUGAUUAUCCCCUCUAACAGCAAAGAUGCAAGAGGCAAACAGGUGAAGAUUGGCCCAUCAUUGCUCAUGUCCCAUACGCGUAUGUGGAUGGUUUGAUCCACCAAGAAGAAACAAUAUUUCAGAAUCAGAGUCAGAGUCAGUUUGUUAACACUCUAAGAGGAGGACUUAAUCUAGCAACUACCAUUGCAGGAAUUAGCUUAUUUUCAGGUUGUUACACUCAAAACAGCACCCAAGUUUUAGAACUUUUGGUUUUUCCAGUGGUUGGUAAUUGGCAGUUUCUCUCUCUGCUAAAGCCGUGGCCCUUGCUUUUGAAUUUUGGCCUUGGGGUCCCUAUGUGAACAUGAGGCAGAAAACAUGAAUAUAGGAGGGAAAGAGUUCGAUCGGUUGGCAUCUUUAACUACUUCAGAACAAAUUAAGGCAACAACUAAGCUGGUGCAAAGUUUGGACCCUAUUCAAAACCUUCUGGCCCUGAAAUUGUGCAACAAGUCAUGAACUCAAGUGAUUAAAUCUUUUGGAUCUUGUGGCACCUGCUACUGCUACAGCCUCUACCUCAUCUCCAAAUAUAUCAAGAUACUUCAAAACUUCCAUUAUUGUAUGAAUGAAAACUGAGCAUCCAACUACCUUGUGGGAAUUAGCUUAUUAUUCCAGGUCGCUGCAACAAUUUCUUUGAAAUAAGUGCAAAGUGUGAAGAUGAUCCUAUCUUUGUGUAAUAUGGAGAGGAAAGAAAAGGGAGAAUUUUGGUUGAAUUCCACUUGGAGGAGUACCUUGCCUUUUCACCUGAAUUCUACUGUUACAUUUUGUUGUUAAGCAAGUUUUGAGAAGCCUUCAGAAAAGGCAAUUUUACAUAUUUCUCACAACAAUUGAAGUUAAAUCCAACUAGGUUACAUUUUGUCCUAAAAAAAAAAAAAAAGAAGUUAAAUCCAACUAAUUCCUUCCACUUUAAGUGUAAGAUACUUGGAGCCUCUGUUCUCGUUUUGCCGACUAAUUGCUUCAAUGUUGGACAGCUAUUCUUAUGGGUUAUUAGAGUGCAAAAUAGAGAUGGCGGUUCCAUUGAGCGCACAACUUGUCUCAUAACUCCUUUUCCAUGAGAGGGAUAUCAACCACUAUGAUUGUGAAGUUAACUAUUGGAGGGUCAUCAAAAGGGGAUUAUUCACCGUUAAUACAGAGCAAAUUUUAUGUCAAGUCUGGAAUUUGACUUAUUACAAGGAAGAUGGUGAAGAUCACAUAAUAAUGUGGAUUGGUCAUUGUUCUCGUUUGAAAAAGUAUUAGUCAUCUUCAACAGUUGUGCCAGAGAAUGAGAACAAUUUAACAGAUCCAUUCAUUUCAUUAGGAAUGCUGAGUCUGCAAUUCUCAACUUGUUUAAUGUUGCUGUCAGUUAGACUAUCAAAUGUUUCAUUUCUUCAACAGUUGCGCCAGAGAAUGAGAACAAUUGAACAAAUCCAUUCAUUUCAUUAGGAAUGCUGAAUUUGCAAUUCUCAACUUGUUUGAUGUUGCUGUCAGUUUGACUAUCAAAUAUUUCAUUUCUUCUUCAAAUUUUAUGAUUUGGGUGGCCAGCUUUGUGUGGCAUUUUCGUAUGAAACCAGUUUAUUAGGUUCUUCUUUGCUACCUGGAUUUGAUUAUAGCUAGAGUGCUCUCCAUUGUCCA